rnacentral:rRNA from 1 species
UAAGACGAACCGUGCAAACGUUAUUCGGAAUCACUGGGCUUAAAGGGCGCGUAGGCGGGUCGGCAAGUCAGGGGUGAAAUCCUCCAGCUCAACUGGAGAAGUGCCUUUGAUACUGCCGACCUCGAGGGAGGUAGGGGCGUGCGGAACUUCCGGUGGAGCGGUGAAAUGCGUAGAUAUCGGAAGGAACACCGGUGGCGAAAGCGGCGCGCUGGACCUCUUCUGACGCUGAGGCGCGAAAGCCAGGGGAGCAAACGGGAUUAGAUACCCCGGUAGUCCUGGCCCUAAACGUUGGGCACUGGGUAGUGGGCUUACAUGGGCUCACUGCCGAAGCAAAAGUGUUAAGUGCCCCGCCUGGGGAGUAUGGUCGCAAGGCUG